rnacentral:pre_miRNA from 1 species
ACAACAACAUUCGGACCGUCGGUCUACCGAGCAAUAUCACCCGCUCGGUGGAAGAUCUUCCUUUCGUCGUCAAGC